rnacentral:rRNA from 1 species
UGUAUUUAUUAGAUUAAAAACCAAUGCCCUUCGGGGCUCCUUGGUGAUUCAUAAUAACUUAACGAAUCGCAUGGCCUUGUGCCGGCGAUGGUUCAUUCAAAUUUCUGCCCUAUCAACUUUCGAUGGUAGUAUAUGGGACUACCAUGGUUUCAACGGGUAACGGGGAAUUAGGGUUCUAUUCCGGAGAGGGAGCCUGAGAAACGGCUACCACAUCCAAGGAAGGCGGCAGGCGCGCAAAUUACCCAAUCCCGACACGGGGAGGUAGUGACAAUAAAUACUGAUACAGGGCUCUUUUGGGUCUUGUAAUUGGAAUGAGUACAAUUUAAAUCCCUUAACGAGGAACAAUUGGAGGGCAAGUCUGGUGCCAGCAGCCGCGGUAAUACCAGCUCCAAUAGCGUAUAUUAAAGUUGUUGCAGUUAAAAAGCUCGUAGUUGAACCUUGGGCCUGGCUGGCCGGUCCGCCUCACCGCGUGCACUGGUCCGGCCGGGUCUUUCCUCCUGGGGAGCCGCAUGCCCUUCACUGGGUGUGUCGGGGAACCAGG